UACGUAGGGUGCGAGCGUUAUUCGGAAUUACUGGGCGUAAAGCGUGCGCAGGCGGUUUUGUAAGUCAGAUGUGAAAUCCCCGGGCUCAACCUGGGAAUGGCAUUCGGGACUGCAAGGCUGGAGUGCGGCAGAGGAGACUGGAAUUCCUGGUGUAGCAGUGAAAUGCGUAGAUAUCAGGAGGAAUACCGAUGGCGAAGGCAGGUCUCUGGGCUGACACUGACGCUCAUGCACGAAAGCGUGGGGAGCAAACAGG
rnacentral:rRNA from 1 species